rnacentral:rRNA from 1 species
AGCAGCCGCGGUAAUACGAAGGUCCCGAGCGUUGUUCGGAAUCACUGGGCGUAAAGGGAGCGUAGGCGCGCGGUAAGUCAGAUGUGAAAUCCCGGGGCUCAACCCGGAACUGCAUCCGAUACUGCCGUGCUAGAGGAUUGGAGAGGUAGCUGGAAUUCUCGGUGUAGCAGUGAAAUGCGUGGAGAUCGAGAGGAACACUCGUGGCGAAAGCGAGCUACUGGACAAUAUCUGACGCUGAGGCUCGAAGGCCAGGGUAGCGAAAGGGAUUAGAUACCCCUGUAGUCCUGGCAGUAAACGGUGUGCGCUUGGUGUGAGGGGAUUCGACCCCCCUUGUGCCGGAGCUAACGCGUUAAGCGCACCGCCUGGGAAGUACGGUCGCAAGACUAAAACUCAAAGAAAUUGACGGGGACCCGCACAAGCGGUGGAGUAUGUGGCUUAAUUCGAUGCAACGCGAAGAACCUUACCUAGGCUUGACAUGCAUCUCUAAGCGCGUGAAAGCGCGUGACCCUUCGGGGGAUUUGCACAGGUGCUGCAUGGCCGUCGUCAGCUCGUGUCGUGAGAUGUUGGGUUAAGUCCCGCAACGAGCGCAACCCUUGUGAUUAGUUGCCAUCGGGUCAUGCCGGGAACUCUAAUCAGACUGCCCAGAUCAACUGGGAGGAAGGUGGGGACGACGUCAGGUCAGUAUGGCCCUUACGCCUAGGGCUGCACACGUACUACAAUGCCCAGUACAAUGAGAGCCGAGACCGCAAGGUGGAGGAAAUCUGGAAAACUGGGCCCAGUUCGGAUUGGAGGCUGCAACUCGCCUCCAUGAAGUUGGAAUCGCUAGUAAUGGCGCAUCAGCUACGGCGCCGUGAAUACGUUCCCGGGUCUUGUACACACCGCCCGUCACAUCAUGGAAGCCGGUCGCACCCGAAGUGCCUGUGCCAACCGCAAGGGGGCGGGGUCCUAAGGUGUAGCUGGUAACUGGGAUGAAG